GAUGAACGCUGGCGGCGUGCUUAACACAUGCAAGUCGAACGAUGAAGCCCAGCUUGCUGGGUGGAUUAGUGGCGAACGGGUGAGUAACACGUGAGUAACCUGCCCUUGACUCUGGGAUAAGCCUGGGAAACUGGGUCUAAUGCUGGAUAUGACUUCUCAUCGCAUGGUGGGGGGUGGAAAGAUUUAUUGGUCUUGGAUGGACUCGCGGCCUAUCAGCUUGUUGGUGAGGUAAUGGCUCACCAAGGCGACGACGGGUAGCCGGCCUGAGAGGGUGACCGGCCACACUGGGACUGAGACACGGCCCAGACUCCUACGGGAGGCAGCAGUGGGGAAUAUUGCACAAUGGGCGCAAGCCUGAUGCAGCGACGCCGCGUGAGGGAUGACGGCCUUCGGGUUGUAAACCUCUUUCAGUAGGGAAGAAGCGAGAGUGACGGUACAUGCAGAAGAAGCGCCGGCUAACUACGUG
rnacentral:rRNA from 1 species